GGGGACGCGUGGUUCGACAGAGGAGGUUGGCUACAGAGUUGCAAGCUGAGGUGCCAUCACCCUCGUAAAACUGGUGGCAAAACACAAAUGCUGAAGAACCAGUAUUAGUUGCCGCUUAAUUAAAUAAGCGACACGUCCACCCCACCCCCUCCCCGACGGGAUGGAAGUGGGCGAAGAAAAGUUGGGGUGCUACCGUUCUGACGCCGGUAUGAGCGGUUUAAGAAAAACCCGGCUUACCUGACGGAACUCGGUCGGCAGAGGUCUGUCAGGCGAGACAAAGAGCCGACUAAGCUUGUAGUAGAUUCUGAGCGGUCUCUUCUGGACGGGGAGUUCAACUCUCCCCCGUCUCCACCA
rnacentral:tmRNA from 1 species